rnacentral:rRNA from 1 species
ACUCCUACGGGAGGCAGCAGUGGGGAAUAUUGCACAAUGGGCGCAAGCCUGAUGCAGCCAUGCCGCGUGUAUGAAGAAGGCCUUCGGGUUGUAAAGUACUUUCAGCAGUGAGGAAGGUGGAUAUGUUAAUAGCAUAUUCUAUUUGUACGUUAGCUGCAGAAGAAGCACCGGCUAACUCCGUGCCAGCAGCCGCGGUAAGUACGGAGGGUGCGAGCGUUAAUCGGAAUUACGUGGGCGUAAAGCGCAUGCAGGUGGUUUGUUAAGUCAGAUGUGAAAGCCCGGGGCUCAACCUCGGAAUUGCAUUUGAAACUGGCAAACUAGAGUACUGGUAGAGGGGGUAGAAUUUCG